UGAGCUCGGGAAAGGUGACAACAAAACAAAUAGAGACACAAAGUAAUCAGAGGGACAGUCAGACUGGUCAGAGAACUGGGAAGGGUGAGGGAAGGAGAGAGAGGGAAAGGAAGGGUUACUUAAAGUUAGUG